GUAUACUCAACUUCGGCAGCGCAACGAUCAGUCGAGUUUGAACUUCAACAGGUGUUAAAACGAAUUCGUUACGAGAGAAGCGGUAUUACUACUGCACACGAGAUAUCGAGAUCAUAUCAAAGUUUGGAUUACUUCGCUUCAUUCGAGAGCAACGUAUUUUACGCAGCCCACAAACGCAAGGUAACGAGCAACCAAC